UGUGACCUCAAAUCAGGUAGGACUACCCGCUGAACUUAAGCAUAUCAAUAAGCGGAGGAAAAGAAACUAACAAGGAUUCCCCUAGUAACUGCGAGUGAAGCGGGAAAAGCUCAAAUUUAAAAUCUGGCGGUCUUUUGGCUGUCCGAGUUGUAAUCUAGAGAAGUGUUAUCCGCGCUGGACCGUGUACAAGUCUCCUGGAAUGGAGCAUCAUAGAGGGUGAGAAUCCCGUCUUUGACAUGGACUGCCAGGGCUUUGUGAUGCGCUCUCAAAGAGUCGAGUUGUUUGGGAAUGCAGCUCAAAAUGGGUGGUAAAUUCCAUCUAAAGCUAAAUAUUGGCGAGAGACCGAUAGCGAACAAGUACCGUGAGGGAAAGAUGAAAAGAACUUUGGAAAGAGAGUUAAACAGUACGUGAAAUUGCUGAAAGGGAAACGCUUGAAGUCAGUCGCGUCAUCCAGGGAUCAACCUUGCUUUUGCUUGGUGCACUUCCUGGUUUGAUGGGUCAGCAUCAAUUUUGAUCGUUGGAAAAAGGCUGAGGGAAUGUGGCAUCUUUGGAUGUGUUAUAGCCCUCUGUCACAUACAAUGGUUGGGAUUGAGGAACUCAGCACGCCGCAAGGCCGGGUUUUAAACCACGUACGUGCUUAGGAUGCUGGCAAUAUGGCUUUAAUCGACCCGUCUUGAAACACGGACCAAGGAGUCUAACAUGCCUGCGAGUGUUUGGGUGGAAAACCCGAGCGCGUAAUGAAAGUGAAAAGUUGAGAUCCCUGUCGUGGGGAGCAUCGACGCCCGGACCAGACCUUUUGUGACGGUUCCGCGGUAGAGCAUGUAUGUUGGGACCCGAAAGAUGGUGAACUAUGCCUGAAUAGGGUGAAUCCAGAGGAAACUCUGGUGGAGGCUCGUAGCGAUUCUGACGUGCAAAUCGAUCGUCAAAUUUGGGUAUAGGGGCGAAAG
rnacentral:rRNA from 1 species